CCCCUCUCAGGAUCACACUUGAAAAGUUUCCAGUAUUCUACCAGUCUUGGCCAUAGGAGGGAGAGUCAAGCAGAGCCAUAUCCAUUCCAUUCCUAGCCUGAGCAGUGGGUAGCGAGUGGAAGACCAUCUGCUACAUGA
rfam:Ornithorhynchus anatinus chromosome 4, whole genome shotgun sequence.